UAUAUACUAAUAGACUCAAACCUAAUAGGCGCUGUAAAGUUGAAUGAGUUUCAUUAGAUAUAUUAUAUCUUUAGACUCAUGUGGGCACAAGCUAGAUCAAGAAUUACUUCUUAACAAAUGGUAUGAGAGCCAAUGAUUUGAUGAACAUGGGCUACUCGCCUAAGUGGUAUGGUACGAUCGAACUUGUGGCUCUUACGAAUAUUGUGGGUUAGUAGAGAAUGAAACACGAUAC
rnacentral:lncRNA from 1 species